AGAAUUUCAUCAGGAAUCAAAGAAAGGUGGUUACCACAUAUAAACACCAACUAAACUCUGAGCUUUCUGGCAACUGAAAAGGAAAACGUUGAGUUCUAGAAUAGCCUUUGUUGUUUGAUGCAACUAACCAUAUCACCUUUUAGAGCUAGAGAACCGUCCAGGUAUUAAAUGUUUGGAAUCUUUUAUGAUGUGGAUUGUGCUACAGGGGACACUGAGUAACGUGGGGACCAAUGUCCUUCACAGUUUUUGUAGAAAAAUUUUUAGGUGGUCUUCCAUAUUCACCCUUAGAAGCAAGGACAACCCUUCGAGUGUAAUUCCGUGGAGAUGAUUUCCUUCUGACUCAAACACCCAUAGCUUCCCUGUCUGUCCAUUUCGUGAGCUCCUCAUUACCUUCCAUGACUCACUUUUCCAUGUGACACGGAGCCUCCCUGGCUUCCACUGCUGAUACUGACCAUUCCUUUCUUUGUUCUCUAUGCUGCCGUGGACACAGAGCCACCAUCGCUGUUAACUGUACUAGAGUCUUUACUUUUUUUUUCUUUUGUGAGCCUAAGCCUUCCUCAAGACAAGAAUCUUUGUUUUGUUUAAAAAAAGAAUAGCCUUAAUGUUUUUUUUUCUGAUUUUAAAGUGAACACCCUAUUGUAGAACAUCCAUGUAAGCAAAAAGAAAAAAAAUAAAAAUGAUUUGUAAUUUCUCCAAGAAAUGACCUGUGUUGACAUUUCAGUGAUUAUACUUCCAAGUCUUUUACUAAAUGUGUACGUAAAUAGCUUUAUUUUUGUGUGUGUAAAAAUCUGUAGCCUCUGUAAACAAGCCAAAUGUCAUAUACACCCCACACAAAACAAUAAAAGCAAAAAUCACCAGACU
rnacentral:lncRNA from 10 species